AAACAAAUAGGUUUGGUCCUGGCCCUUUCUAUUAACUCUUAGUAAGAUUACACAUGCAAGCAUCCCCACCCCAGUGAAAAUGCCCUCUAGAUCAACCCAAUCAAAAGGAGCAGGUAUCAAGCACACACAAAUGCAGCUCAAAACACUUUGCUCAACCACACCCCCAUAGGAAACAGCAGUGAUAAAUCUUUCGUAAGAAACGAAAGCUUAACUACUGAUACACAGGGUUGGUCAAUUUCGUGCCAGCUACCGCGGCCAUACAAUUAACCCAAGCUAAUGAAACGCAGUGUAAAGAGUGUUUAAGAUCUGCCCUCAGUAAAGCUAAGCUCCAUCUAAGUUGUGAAAAACUCCAGCUGAAAUAAAAUAUACUAUGAAAGUGGCUUUAAUACCCUGAAGACACAAUAGCUAAGGCCCAAACUGGGAUUAAAUACCCCACUAUGCUUAGCCCUAAACUCUAAUAGUUAAAUUAACAAAACCAUUCGCCAGAAUAAUACAAGCAACAGCUUAAAACUCAAAGGACUUGGCAGUGCUUUAUAUCCCUCUAGAGGAGUCUGUUCUAUAAUUGAUAAACCCCAAUGUACCUCACCACCUCUUGCCCUCAGCCUCUAUACCGUCAUCUUCAGCAAACCCUAAAAAGACUAUAAACACAAGUAUAUACAUAAAAAUAUUAGGUCAAGGUGUAGCUUAUGAGGUGGCAAGAAAUGGGCUACAUUUUCUUUACCCAGAUAAUCUCAUGACAACCUUUAUGAAAUCUAAAGGCUAAAGGAGGAUUUAGCAGUAAACGAGCAGCAGAGUGCUUGGUUGAAUAAGGCCAUGAAGCACACACACCACCCAUCACCUUCCUCAAAUAUUGUCCUAGAAAUUACUAUUACUAAAACCUCUCUAUGCACAUAUAGAGGAGAGAGGUUGUAACAUGGUAAGUGUACUGGAAAGUGCACUUGGACAAAUCAAAGU
rnacentral:ncRNA from 1 species